CUAUAGCCCAAUCGUAUGAAGAAAUCUCUUCCGUUUUCAGUUCAGUGGGACAGUCCACAUCGGAAGUUAAUCGGAGAAACCAUGUCGCUCGCCGCUUCCCUGAAUAUUCCCGUAGCUAAACUCUUCUUCCUCUCGAAUUCGCCGCCUUUUCAACCCAAUUCCAACAAGCUUUCUUUCAAUUCUCUUCUCAGACCUCGAAACGGAGUCUCUUCCGUUUUCUCUUCUUCCCACUCUUCUUACUCUAUCCAACCAGAUGAGUUAGAAGAUUUCGUCAUCGGCGAUUGUGUUAUUUUCGAAGAUGGCGUGUUUGACGACCCAUAUGUGUCGGAUGAUUCGAGUGUGGAUAGUUCCAUUCCGAGCACAGCGAAGUUUAAGCCCAAGAGCCCCGUUGUGGAGAUUAAGCCCGAAAAUCUGGUGCCAGAUGAGUGGAAAGAAGUGCAAGCGGAGAUUAACAUCACGAAGAAAGAGAGGCGGAAGAUUGCUCAGGAAUUGGAGUUCGGUACUCGAGUUGAGAAGAAGAAGAAAGCGCUUGUUCCUUUGAGGAGUGUGAAUUUGGAGGAAUAUUUAUCGUAUAAGGAGGCGAAGAUGGCACAAUUGAAGCCACUUGUUCUUGAUAAUCCGUCUAGUUUUCCGGCGACUGAGGAAGUUAAUAGGACGGAGGAUGCUAUGAGCAGGUCGAGCGAGCGUGUGGCGCCAAAAAAUCCUAAGUGGGCGGUUUAUGGUAGGGGGCUGGAGGAUGUUUCCGAGUUCUUUAAUAGUGGACAAUACCAGCCUGCUGAUAGAAAAUCUGAAGGACCUCGCAAGUUAUUUUCAAAAGAGGAAAAGGCUAUGCUGAAUAAAAGGGUGCCUGAUCUUGCUUCUGCUCAUUCUGAUAUGUGGUUGCCUCUACAUACUCUUGUCGGGUCUGGAGAAUUUUACCUUGUGGAUGAACUACUAAAAAACAAUGUUGAUAUCAAUGCUGUGGAUAAGGUUGGUUUCACGGCUCUUCACAGAGCUAUACUUGCAAAAAAGCAAGCCAUAACUAAUUAUCUUUUAAGAGAAAGUGCCAAUCCUUUUGUUCGAGAUAAGGAUGGCGCAACUUUGAUGCAUUACGCUGUCCAAACUGCUUCGAGUCAGGCGAUUAAAACUCUUCUAUUGUAUAACGUUGAUAUAAAUCUUCAGGAUAAAGAUGGGUGGACGCCACUGCAUCUCGCUGUUCAGGCUCGUCGGACAGAUAUAGUCAGGCUUUUAUUAAUUAAAGGAGCUGAUAAGACACUAAAAAAUGCGAAAUUCUUAAAUGACAUCGAUUAUUUGAGGUUUGGAUGACUAUAAGAAUCCCUUUCUCUACAUCCAAAGUGUGCGAACAAUUUGGAUAGCAUUCAACUAAUCUUAGAGUUUCAAGGGAGGUUUGACCCCAUUGGACAUUUGCCUCUAUUCUGGUCGAGAUACAAAAACUUAUGAACUAAUAAAGCUGUUGAAACAGCUUCCAAGACCAAGUAAACUGCCUUCAUAACAGUGAUGAUCACUUGAACUAGCUUAGGCUCUGGAAGAUCAACUAUUGCUGUGUUUCGUAUGCCAUAGUGGUCCAAGUUCUAAAUUGGGUAUGCUACUGGAUUAACGUCGGCUUCUUUGCUAGAUAAUUCUAUAAGAGCAAAUAGUACUGUGAAAGUGACAUCAUUGGAAACCGGGCUAGAAACAUGUCUCUGCAUGAGCGUUCCAGUCGGACUUGGAGCAAAUGCAUCUAUAACAAUGUCUGAUUAAUGAUUAUGGCAUGCGAAGUCCCAUGAGUAUCUCAUUCGUUUUCCUUUUCAUGUUGAAAGUUGUAAUUCUUUCCCUUUGUUUUGUAUCUGUUGUAAUUAAAUAAGAUUUUGAAGUCUAUACGCAUAUGUUUUGUUGACUUAAGUUAUGAACUUAAUUGAUGAACUCGAAGAGCAUUAGAUUUCUUAUUGAUGA